AUUCUGUAGAUACUGUAAAAAAUAUGGACACCUAAUUGAUAAGUGCUUCAAGAUCCAUGGGUAUCCACAAAGUACCACUUUUAACAAGGGAAGGAGACCUGCUGCUGCUCAUCUAAGUACUGGUCUGGAUUCUCCUCAUUCUGAUGGACUUUGUCUGUUCCUCAAGGGAAUCCUCCUGAUAGCCAUCAAUCUAUUGCAAGAAUAGAUGGCCAGAGCUCUGUGAUACCAGGGUUGAGC
rnacentral:lncRNA from 1 species